rnacentral:siRNA from 1 species
UAUUUGGAUAGAUAGAGGAAA